rnacentral:lncRNA from 1 species
CCCAGACCCGCCGAUCCACCUGCUGACCCGCCCAAAAUUCCUUUUAAUCAUAGCCAUUGAUUCAAUUUAAUCAGAAGGCCCAGGUUAAAUCCCUUUGCCAUAUAAAAUCCAUAUUUUCCCAUACCCUAGCCCUAAACCUAAUCUCUACACCCCAAGACCAGCCGCCACCCCCUUUGCUCUCUUCACUCUACCCGCGCUCAAACUCGCCGGAACUCGUCCAAACCCGGAAAGUUCACCCAAUGGUCUCCCCAUGGUCCCCCUCUACUCUCAUCUCCUUCUUCCACGUGUUCGUAAUCAUGGAGAACGCGUUCUUUCUUUUUCGUUCGAUUUGGAAGCAAAUCCAAGCCCUUGAGAUAAAUGUUGAAAAAUUGGAGUCACUGGAUUAAUUUUUAAUCCACGAUUUCCAUUUUUUGGUUUUUGUUAAAAUGGAAUUUUCGGAUUUUUGUUUGUGGUCCAUUGGAAAUGGCCUCUCUGCCCUUUCGGGUAGGGGUAAGGCUCGUCUACAUAUUACCCUCCCCAGACCCCACUUUGUGGGACAUUACUGGGUAGUUGUUGUUGUNNNNNNNNNNNNNNNNNNNNNNNNNNNNNNNNNNNNNNNNNNNNNNNNNNNNNNNNNNNNNNNNNNNNNNNNNNNNNNNNNNNNNNNNNNNNNNNNNNNNNNNNNNNNNNNNUUAAUUUUUAAUCCAUGAUUUCCAUUUUUAGGUUUUUGUUAAAAUGGAAUUUUCGGAUUUUUGUUUGUGGUCCAUUGGAAAUGGCCUCUCUGCCCUUUCGGGUAGGGGUAAGGCUCGUCUACAUAUUACCCUCCCCAGAUCCAGUUGUUUGUUGUUGUUAUUAUUUGUGGUCCAUGCGGAUUUAUGGAGAUUUUCGAUUAUUGGAAAGGAAGCAAGAAGUAUCUUCUAGGGUUCCUAUAUAUUUGGGAUUUUCGGACAGAAAAUGGGGGACGGAAAAAAAACUAGGCUUUUCAGGUUUUGAUUUGAUUCUUCUAGUAUCAUUUCAUUCAAAAAUUAGAGUUUCUUUUUUAGUAGUUUUUGAUUCUGUUUAGUUCCGAUUUUCAUAUAUAAAAAAUAAAAAAAAACCAACCUCUUCUAGUUUCAAUCUUACAUAAAGUCAGAAAUACGAAGGAAAAUUUUGUGUUUCAUCUCUUGUUUAGCCGAAUUGAGUUUGGAUUUGGAGUUGUUGUUCGAAGUCGAGUCCGUGGUUCCCGUUCGACUUAGCUGUUGUACUCUCGAAUGGACUUUUUGAACUUGAAGCUUUGUGGAUGAUUACUUUGAAUCUCUGUUAUUAAGAAGAAAUUUGCACUCAGGUCCAUAUCCUAUCUUUUCUUUUAUCUGAAUUAUGACUGAGACUAUGAUGAGACUUUAGUAUUAAAACAAACUUAAGCGUCUAAAAUCUAUCUAUGUUUUCAAGAUGUUGAAUGUGUUCUACUUUAGUUCUUUUGAAUCUGCCUUGCCCGUUAUGUUGAUAUUAAAUGUGCGUUGCAUUUCGUGAAUCUCGUUGUGAUAUUUUAUGUUUGAUCUCAAUCGUAUUCGUUUGGUUUAAGAUACUUGCGCUGCCAUCUUCCUCGCUCAUUCAGUCUCGCCUAAAUUGUCCUUGGUUAGAAGGGCACAGUGGUAUUUGAGUAGCAUAGGGUGAUCCUGUUUUUGGCAGAAUCAAGUAUGGGGGAUUCUAAUGUCAUUUUGAUUCAUUGGUUUGAAUUUGUCCUUUGAGUUUUAACAUGAAAGUGCAUUGGAUAUUUUGACCUUAUUUGCCUCAAAGUUCGUUUGCCAUUUUAGAUAUCGUAGUUCAGUAGAGGAUAUGUGCAGCUAGAUCUGUUUCCGUCAAAUAGCUGGUUGUGUCAUUCGGUAUUAGCUUAACUAUCAUAAGUAUGCAGGUCCAUUUUCCUUGAUUGCAUGUUCUGAGCUUAUUUCUGUCCUCUUGGAGUAGUUUAAGUAUAUGACAGAAGCCUUGUGUCAUUACUUGCAUCAUAUUUCAUCCAUGUUCACUUCUAGAAUUGUUUAAGUUAGCUUAAAUGAUUUUUUGAAAGUUCAUGUAGUAGCAUCAUCCAUGAAGAUGACAUACUAAUUCUUAAAUUGUUCGUAUGGCCUUAACUCAUGUUGUUCUCUCCUUUCUGUGUGUAUUGGAAUGUUAUAUUGGGUUUGGUUUUUACUAUUUUUAUUAUACUCUUUCAACAUUGAAUGCUCCUUGCCAUAGACGUUUAUGUGUAUAUGUUUGUUUUGGGUUGAUUGGAUGAAUGUUUGGUUCAUGCACGGGCUGCGGGAAAGUUGGGUUGGUUUGUGCAUUUACACAAUGGCAUACAUACUUAGACUAUUAAAUUCAUGUGAUCUAAAAAGCUUACUGUUUGGACCGAAGAACAAAAUUUUUGUUGCUAGUGAGUUGGUUGGAAUUACUUUUUGGAAAAUUUGCUUUUAAGUAUCUUGUGUGAAAACUAUUUUUUUCUAAAGCAAGCAUGUCAUUUUGAGACAAAGUAGUUUCUUUGUGUAGCGAUGGUUAUUCUGAUACCUCACAAUCACUAAGCCAGUAUUACAUUUGGUUCAUGCUUUGUCGAUUCUUUUAAAUUUUCUUUCUUUGUAUGCUUUUGGAUGAAUAUUUGGUGCUUAAUGACUAUCUUAUUAACCACAACCAUUGGUAUAGAUUGUUUGAUUGGUUUGAUGGGCUCUGUAUAGCACGAAAAUAAGUUAUACCUUUAAAUAUGUUCGUCUCUUGCUAUUUUAUUAUUUUUGAUCGUUAGGAGCAUGUUUAGGUCGAUCACACUCGGGUAGGCAAGUCGUAGGAUUUUGUUAGUUUAGAGGCGAGAGGUUGUUCCCAUAGUUAAAUUUAUCUUGGGUAUGCACUGAAGAACUAUGUAAAUAUUUUGGAGGCCUUGGCGAAUGUGGUGGAGAAGCCUUAGUAUAGGUUAGCUUAGGAUUUUUCUUUUCUUUUCAUUUUCCUUUUCUUUCAUUUAGGUUGGGACGACCUCGAGCCUCAUGUGUGUUUAUUUUCUUUUUGUUUUGUGAUUUUACCUCAACCCGAAUAAUGUAAUAGCCAACUUGCUUGAGUACGCAACCGUACUAGUUACGGGACUUAGGGAGUGCCUAACACCUUCUCCCCGAGUCAAAUCAGCCCCCUUACCUUAAUCUCUAGUGUAGACUUAGUUUUGGAGUUUCAAAUGUUUUGAAAGGAAAAUCAUUUAAAAUAAAACGGUGACUUGACACACCAAAACUUUCAAAAUUGAAAAGCUCUUUUCAAGCUUCACUAAAAUCUUUUUAUUUAUUUAAGAGGAUUAACUAGAGUUUGAGUUAAAAAGGGGUGUGACAAUGAGUGUUCAAUCAUCUUUGUAAAUAUAUAACUCAAAAUUAAUUACUGUUAUAAUGUAAUUACUUUAAUUUCACAAGUUAUUAUGCUUCUUUUAAAAUUUAAGCAGGAAAAUAUAAUCAUGAAAUAUUUAAGAUUUUUUUUUGGAAAAUUUUAUAUUCUUAAGUUCAUUCUAGAAGACAAUGUUAGAUAAAUAAUAAUAUUGACUCGUGCAUAAUUUAAUAUGUUAGUUUAAUCAAAUAUUGUCUUGAUGGAAGCAAAAUAUUGAACCGCAAUUGAAGAGAUCUAUUUUAAAUUAUUUAAUAAUUUAAUUUUUAAAAAUCACGAAAUGGUGCCUAAAGAUUGUUUCAAAAGUAGAAAAUGGCAAAUUCCAUUACCUAAACUUUAUUAUUUGGAUAUAAAUUACAAGAAAUUCUUGUGGUUCAUUGUUAUAAUGCUUUUGCAUUAUAUAUACGAUUUUGUGGGCUAAUCUAUUUUUUUCCAAUUUAUGUUAGGUAAGAUUCACAUACGCGUUCCUACGUAUUAGGAAUUCUUACAUAAUUCAAAUAAUAAUAAGAUUUUAGAAUCCUAUAUAUUAGGAAAACAAUAAUAUUACUAUUUUGUCCAAUGUAAAAGUUUAUUUUAAAGGACAAAAAAAGCGAACGAUAUUUAUCCAACGGCCUUCGUACUUUUAAUAUAGCAUAGAUAUAUAUAUGCGCUUUAACUGCACAAGUUUAGUUGGUAGUCUUGUCCUAGCCUCGUCACUAUUUCACGGGGUUAGGCUAGGCACUUACCAGCACAUAGGGUCGGUUGUGCUGAUACUCUACUCUGCAUUGUGUGCAGAUCCCGGCGCAACAACUUUUGGACCAUAGCUUGGGUGCCUGCCUUCAGUUCAUACAGAGAUCCAAGGUAGUCCUGCAGGCGUACGCAAGCCCUGGCGUCUCCCUCUAUCUUUUCUUCCUGUUUCUCUCAUUUAAUUCAGAAACAGUGUUGCAUUUAUUUUUUGGACCUUGUUUGUAGAAUUCUUAGACCGUCUGUGGUGUUGUGAUACCAGUCUUGGAUAAUUUUUGUUCAAGAAAUCAUGCCAAUUAUUUAAAUGGUUUAAUUAUUUCUUACGCUUGUUUUAAAUUUUCGUUGUUUAUAAACUAUUGAUUCG